ACCUGCAUGAGUGACUCUGUCAUCCAGUGGAUAACUUCAGGAAUACCGAAGCUAAUACAUGGACGAGUAUUCGAAUGGCUGUCAAGGGCAAGGAGUAACAUCUGAGCCUGGCUAUACGAAGCUUUUGGUCGAGAUAGAAAUUGGUCAAUCAGAUUGAAUCUAUCGUGGGAUUAGACCAUCCUGUGCAAGGCUGUGAUCCUCGGAUCACUCCGUGUGCGGUUGAGUGACUGACCUAUCAGCUUGUCUGCAAUGUAUUGGACUGCAGAGGCUUUGACGGGUAACGGAGAAUUAGGGUUCGAUUCCGGAGAGGGAGCUUGAGAGACGGCUGCCAUGUCUAAGGACAGCAGCAGGCGCGCAAAUUGCCCAAUACUAGCAUGAGCGAGGCAGCGACGAGAAGUAUUUACCUUGUGCUCUUCGGAUAUCUUGGAUAGAAAUGGACAGUACCCAAACCCACUGAUGAAAUCGAUUGGAGGGCAAGUCUGGUGCCAGCAGCCGCGGUAAUUCCAGCUCCAAUAGCGUAUACUAAUGCUGUUGCUGUUAAAAAGCUCGUAGUUCGACAAGGAUUGGCCCCGAUUCCGAGUCUGCUAUGCUCAACUUGUUGACUUAGCAGAUGAGAGUCACAUGGAGCUGAUUCUGUAAUGAUGGAUUGGAUCGGAUGAAGCGCACUUCACUGUGUGUGGAUUCGACCUCGCAGUCAACAUCUGUACAAGAUCUUUCCGUUGUGAUACCGUGAACAAAACAGCGUGCUCAAAGCAAGUGAUAUGCUCGAAUGUUCAAGCAUGGAAUAUCAAGGAAGCGAUCGUUAAGUCAAUCUUUGCUGGUUUCUGUGACCGUUUCGGAUAAUGAGACUAGAGAACAUUGGCGUCCUGUUCCUUUGCUUGCAUUGGAUCAGUGUCGUCAAGGCUCUGGUUUAACGGUAUUAACAGAGGUGACCGGAGCUGUUGGUACUGCUGCACGCGAGAGGUGAAAUUCUUAGACCGUGCCAAGACCAACCUAAGCGAAGGCAGUCAGCAAGUAUACCUUCACUAAUCAAGAACGAGAGUGCAGGGAUCCAAGAUGAUCAGAUACCGUCGUAGUCUGCUACUGUAAACGAUGCGAACUCGGGAUCAGCUAUCGCUCAUCUCUGAUUUCCAAGCUGGAACCAUUCUAUCUCUCCUAGCGCAAAAGCUUUAAGUUUAUGCGUUCAGGGGGAAGUACAGUUGCAAGGCUGAAACUUAAAGGAAUUGACGGAAUGACACCACAAGGCGUGGAUGCUGCGGCUUAAUUUGACUCAACACGGGAAAUCUCACCAGGUCAGGACGCAUGUUGGAUUGACAGAUUGAAAGCUCUUUCUUGAUUAUGUGUAUGGUGGUGCAUGGCCGCUCCUGGUUGGUGGAGUGAU
rnacentral:rRNA from 1 species